AGUGAACGCUGGCGGUAGGCCUAACACAUGCAAGUCGAACGGCAGCACAGUAAGAGCUUGCUCUUACGGGUGGCGAGUGGCGGACGGGUGAGGAAUACAUCGGAAUCUACUUUUUCGUGGGGGAUAACGUAGGGAAACUUACGCUAAUACCGCAUACGACCUACGGGUGAAAGCAGGGGAUCUUCGGACCUUGCGCGAUUGAAUGAGCCGAUGUUGGAUUAGCUAGUUGGCGGGGUAAAGGCCCACCAAGGCGACGAUACGUAGCUGGUCUGGGAGGAUGAUCGGCCACACGGGAACGUAGACACGGUCCAUACUCCUACGGGAGGCAGCAGUGGGGAAUAUUGGACAAUGGGCGCAAGCCUGAUCCAGCCAUACCGCGUGGGUGAAGAAGGCCUUCGGGUUGGAAAGCCCUUUUGUUGGGAAAGAAAAGCAGCAGGUUAAUACCCCGCUGUUCUGACGGUACCCAAAGAAUAAGCACCGGCUAACUUCGUG
rnacentral:rRNA from 1 species